GAUGAACGCUAGCGGAAGGCUUAAUACAUGCAAGUCGAGCGGUAGGUGGCUUCGGCCAUUGAGAGCGGCGCACAGGUGAGUAACGCGUACAUGACCUGCCUGUCAGAAGGGGAUAGCCCUGGGAAACUGGGAUUAAUACCCUACGGUAUUGAUAUUAUGAAUGAUAUCAAUUAAAGUUGAGGCGCUGACAGAUGGAUGUGCGUCUGAUUAGCUAGUUGGUAGGGUAACGGCCUACCAAGGCGACGAUCAGUAGGGGGCGUGAGAGCGUGGUCCCCCACACGGGUACUGAGACACGGACCCGACUCCUACGGGAGGCAGCAGUAAGGAAUAUUGGUCAAUGCCCGCAAGGGUGAACCAGCCAUUCCGCGUGGAGGAUGAAGGCCCUAUGGGUUGUAAACUUCUUUUAGAUGGGAAGAAAAUGCUAGAUGUAUCUGGUACUGACGGUACCAUCAGAAUAAGCACCGGCUAACUCCGUGCCAGCAGCCGCGGUAAAAC
rnacentral:rRNA from 1 species